GUGUGUGUGUGUGUGUGUGUGUGACAGCUAGUUCUUUUUCUCCCGGUCGUUUGUGCUCUCUUACAAUAAUGUACCAAUCAUUUUUCCCAUUUUGAGUCUUCGUAUAAUUCCAAAAGCAUUCAAAUGACUUUUCUGCUGAAUGUGUUGCUUGUGGUAGUCCAGCUUCGAUUGACAACUUUAGCAUUGCUGCAGUUUCAGUUCAUGUCAGCUGUACAUUGUCCGCCCGAGCUGUAGUGGGAACUUCCAGAGGGUUAGGAGGUAACAAGGAUGCCGGGUCAACAGAUGAAGUUGACGACGUUCUGUGUGUGGGAUCGGUUUGCAUGUUCCGCCUGUCAGCAGGUGGCGGUGGGUUGUAAGCUGAUGUAGUUGACUGAAGGAGAAGAAGUAAGAGCCCGGCAAAACACAGGCCUUACGUGGUGGCCAUGUAAGGACCAGCUAGCUGUUGUUCCCCCCCCCCCCCCCCCAGAGUUUUCCUGCUGUGAAAGCAAUAACGUUUCCCACGCACCACCUGAAGCGUCUGUCGCGAGAGCUGUAACAUCUGCUGCAGGGAGGGCCCCUAGCUAGCCGCCAUUUUCACUCUCACUCAAUUGGGAUUGAGCGCCCAUGUGUUUUUCACCAUGGGGAAUUUUGCCACCACUAAGAAGGGAAACGAACUAGAAAGCGGCAGUGGAUCAGGUGGUUCACUGUCACCAUGAAGAACCCGAGACAUUCAAAACAAAGCCAUCUCCCCUCAACCUCAAGCCAUCCACCACCAACCACGAGCCUCCCCCAUUCCUCCAAAAAGAGUUGGCCCAUCUCAGAAGAAAGUUUCCAGAAAAAUGCGCUGAGGCUGCUUACAGAGAUAAGGGACACCGGCAGGCAUCAAGACCUUAGGGCAGCACAAAAAGAGGACAUGGACAUUGUCCAGAUAAAAUCUUUGGCCGACAUCAUUGUCCUUGAACAGAAGGUGAUGGAAGAUCCUUCUACUUCUGCAAAACUGAAAUCCCAAUGUUGAAAGUUGGAGGGGUAACCCUCAGAGAAAAUAUCAAACGGAUCGGGAAGAGGUAAUUAUUAUAUGUUUUGUAAAUAUACAUACAUUGAAUGUUUUUUUUCCUUUUUUACCAGCAAUAUACAGUUGAGAAUCAGGUGAAGAUUUUUUACUUGUUUUGAUUUUCAAACAAUAUUGCAUUUAGGAAUGCAAUUGAAAGUAAUUUGUGUGCUGUUUUCCUGACAGAAGCAGUGGUAGGAAACAGGACAGGAGGAACCCAGAUGGAUAGUAAAUAUGAGAGACACAUAGUUAAAGUUCACAUAGUGGAAUAUUGCAUUAUAUUUUAUUUUGUUUGUAACAUACUUUGAGAAAAAAGCUAUUUGUUCUAAAUGAUGGAAAAAGUUAUUUGCUCUAAAUGUUAUACAUGUAUUACUGUGGGCUGUAUAAACCUAAUUGUUUGUAGUUUGAUUGAAAAACUGUGGUUUCACACUGCAUAAUAAAGGUUUCAAUCCAUAA